UCUGAUCCUGCUCCAUUACAAUGUUACACAUAAAGCAGGCUAUUUCAGGCAUUUUAGCAAACAGGUCUAUUCUCAUAUCCAUAUUAAUAGGUCAACACAGUAAAGGUAAGCAAAAUGCCAAACUUUUUAUUAAGAUGAGAUUUCAACAUAAAAUUAAAUUAAGCUCUCAUCCUACCACCACCAGGGUCUGCCUGAUAUCAGCUCAUAACUGCAGCUGAUCCAAAACAACCCUCUUUAGAGAAAACAGUACUUCGGAUGAUCUUAAACGGCAGUUUGGACAAGUUUUGCUAUUUUGAUAUUCUUAUGACAAACAUGUCAAAUUUAAUUUUAAAUCAAUUUUUAAUAUUCUCUAACUAAUAUAAUAAAGAACUGUUUUUUUAACAGCAGCUUCAACAGAAAACAAACCCUGCCACCAUGCCCCAAUUUUUGGGAGAUAAGUACUUCACCAGUGCAGCCAUUGCUAUUACCACUUCUACCAAUAUGCUUGAUCACCACUAAUCUCGCUAAAAUUAUAACCAACUUCAAGUGAUAACUACCACUAACAGCAUGGCUGUUGAAGAUAUAAUACCAUUGCUACCAAUCAAAACAAGCUCCCAAACAAAAGCCCUUCAACCCAUAUAUUGCAUAGAGAAAGGAACACAGCCGCCUUCUUACCAAUUCAGAAAUGAAAAACGCCAUCUUUCUGAACCAAAAGGUGCUAAAUUUGACACCCAAAGGACAAGGGUACUCAAAUAAGCUGAUGGUUUUUUACUUUUAAUAAACAAGAAAGUAGAUUUAGAGAAAGAGGAUACAAAAGGACACUACACCCCGAAGAAAAAUUCAAAGUCAAAACAAAAGCCCUACUGACACCAAAAAUACAUAAAUAAAUAAGAUAUUCCACUUGAAAGACAAUUAAGCAAAGAAGAAUAAUACUUUAUCUUGGAAUAAAUUAUAUGAUAGGAGAAAAUGCCACUCCAUGGACAUGGCCCAUGGCAAUAAUUACAAUAGAAUACCAAUUCCAGGCAGCAAAUGGAGUAUUUGUGCCAAUAGGAGGGAUGUUGAAGUAAAUAAUGCAAUAUAUAAGCAUGCUAGUGAGGGUGCAUCAUUUAUUUCAAGAAAACAAACUAAUUCAUUAAUACAUAAGAUGAUUUGAAAAAAGUUGAAGACGAAGAUGAAAAUGCAAAAGCACCAUGCAUUUAAGCAUCCCAUAAGCACAAGUGCCUUUGAGCCAUUUUUAACUUCACUACAUUGAAAACGAAAGGACUGGAUCGUGCAGCAGCAGCUCAAAUAUUUAUUAGACAACCACCGUCAACAAAUCAACAAGACCCAUGCAUAACACCAUACCUGGUAGCUCUUGCACGGAUGUACUGCAGGCAAAUUUUUUCUGCAGCUCUGAUGCCAAUGCUUCAGCAUCCAUCAAAAAUGUUUCUACACCUGAGACUUUUGUCACCUUCUUGUUACCCUGUCGCCUUUCUGUUACAAUUUGAAUGGUCUUCAGUGAACCUUUACGAACAACUGAUUCACUUCCCCUGGACACAACAUAAUGGGCUUGCAUCCGGCUUACAAAUGUCAAUCCCAGAUCUUUCUUGUGAAUCUCUGUAGGGUACGUCGAUCCUUUCUUAACUGUUCCCUUGAACAAAGCAUCACAUAGUGGUGGAUCUAGAACUACAAAGGCCUUAUUGGUUGGCUUAACUAGAUUUUCUUUCUCAAUAUACUUGAAGACAAUAUCAGAAGCUUCUGAAGCACUAUAAAGUUUCCCAGUAUCUGCACCAACAGAAGCAAAAAUGGGAUUGACAUGAACACUUGGUUUGUAUAUUUCUACCACUUCAAGCAUUUUCUUUUGACGACUUUCAUUAGUAGCUUGGUCAACAGCCUGAUCAACCUUUUGUUCCUGCCUCUUCUCUGGCUUGAAGGACAAGAAAUCUGGGUGACUGCGAUUAACAGAAACUAGGACAGUCUCCUUUUUAAAUUUGUCUUCCUUUACUGCGAUCUGGGUGAAAAGAUCAUUUUAAACUUACUGCCAAAAAUAUAUCAAUUUUGCACGAAUAAAAUUAAAAAAUAAACAAAUAAACAAUAAUAAUAAUAACCUGAACAUAGAACUUGCAACAAGAAAAUCAAAUUUUUGCUUGUCUGUAGAUUGAGCCUUGGUUACAUAUUUGCCUUUUCAAAUUUUAUAGAUUUAUAUUACCUUAAGUUGUGAAAAGUGAAAAAGAUAAAAAUAAAAAUAAUAAAAUAAGGGGAGAAAGAACAAAAGGUAGAAGAACACCAUCAAGAACAUGAUGUAGCCCUCUAAGGAUUUAACUUGGCCAACAAUAGUAAACAUGAUAAAAUACAAAUAGUUGCUUAGUUCCCACUUCCCAUUCUUUAGUAACUAUAGCCCUACCAUAUUGUACACCACAUGUAGCAAAGCUUCCACACGCACCCGCCGGUUUCAAUUCAUUAUCUUCCCCCUAGCCGUAACUUCGUCCCAUAAUUUUUAUCCACCUUUCCAUUUUAAGCUAUCCCAAAAUAUUGUCCACUUUCUAUUUUUACAUUAUGAUUAGCAUAUAAAUUGACUAUUAUAAACCUAUUUAAUUUUAUCUUAUUUUCAAUACAAUCCUUCAUUAAAUGUUCAUUUUUCCAAAUGCGAAUUCAACCAUCUCUUAGCAUUUAAUUCAAAUCAUACAUUAUCAAUAAUGAUUUUAUUGUUUCAUUGAAACUUAAUGUCCUCAUUUUAUAUUAAAGAUGGGCAUAAUUGAAAAAUUAAUAAAAGAAAAUGCCUUUUAACCAAAAUAACAAUCAUUUCUCAAACUAUAUAAAAAAGCAAAGUGGACAAAAAUUAUGAAUGGAGGGAAUACUAUUUACGUCAUCACAUUUUGCAUUACGAUCUUUUGGCAAGUUGCCCAUCUUACCUUUAAUAUUCUCACAAAAAUCAUGUAUUUAUUUAUCGCCAUAUUGCUAUUUGCUCAAAUCGAAGAGACAGUUACAAGAAUUUGCAUAUAACAAGGAUAGAUACAUGGUUUUAAAUAAUGGCCAUUACAUAAUGGCCACUAUUUCUAGGUUUUCCAAGAAGCCGCGACCGUUAAGGUCGUUAUUUCACGGUGAUAAAUUGUGUCAAUCACGGCCAUUUCGACCAUUAUAUAACGAUCACAGCCGUUAUUGGCUGCGACUUAACGGCUAUAAAGGCUAUUACCUUCAUUUAAUGGGUAGAAAACUUAAGAAUUCUGCAGGAGACUGCUUGCAAUGUAGUAUAUGGAUUUAGAAGGUAGAAGACACUUUUUUCUUCACAUUUUGAAGCCUUCCACUUUCCUCCCAAGCCAAAAUUUACCCUUUUUUAUUUCUAUCAAUUUCUCUAAAUUUUCUCUCAGCUUUAAGACUCUUCAAGUGCUAUUAAUCAACUUCUCUACAAAUUCUUGUGUUGAAAAGCUCAAAUUAUCCAAGAUACUAAGUGGUUUUCAAGUGUUAUCGAGCAAAAAGUUAGUUCUUGUUAUUUAAAAAAAAUUAAAAGUUAGAAUGUUAUAUUCGAAAUGUACAAGUUUAGAAUUAUAACCUAAUAUCAUAACGAGUUUUAUACUCGUGUAAGUUAUAACAAAUGAUAACUAAGUAUUAAAUAUAAAACAUAAACAUAGAAUGUACAAGAUUAAAAAUUUACGAAAAAUAAGUAGUAAGUAUAAAAAAGAACGUGAUCUUAAAUUAAAAUGUAAUUUUUUCAAAUAAUAUAAAUUAUUUUACAUAAUGUAAAUGCUAAAGAAAAGCCCAUUCUAAUGGUAAUUGAGGUAAAUCAUGUGAACCUAGACAAACAAGCAAGCCUCUAACGGGACCAUGAUUUUAAAUCAUGGCAGCGAAUAACAAAAACAGGCCCGUAGAGGCGAUAACAUAAUGGUAAAGGUCAAACGCUAUGCAAAUUUUUCAAAAAAAAUUGCAGAGUUCAUAAAUAAAAUGAUAUUAAUUCAGAAUAAUGUAUACAAAUGCAUAAUAAACUUAUAUACAUAAAAUAUAGAUUAUUUAUCUUAAGUUAAACAUCAUAUGGUUUAAAAUAAGAAAAACCAACAUAAUCUUUAUAGAUCGAGUAAACUAAUAGGUCAAAAUACAAUUUUAACUCAAAAUUAACACUUUAAUCCACAAAAAAAAAUUUAAAAAUGUAAAAUAUAACAACUAAAAACUAAAAUAGAUAAAAUUUAACUAACUUUUUAGAAGAAAUAAGCUUGGAAACAUAGUUUAUGAUGGAACUAAACUUAUACGAGAAAUAUGCAGGGAAGAUCGAAAUUUAAAAGAGAAAAGGAAGAGAAAACUUAAAAAAUAUAGCCUUUGAAGCUGUUGAAAAGUGUAGAAACUAAUGAAAAUGAGAAUAGAAAGCAUAAGAGGAAAUAUAUAAAAGAAUUUUAAUUAUGGUAACAGUAAUGACCUUUACCAUUACGUAACGGCCAUUACGCUUGCAAAUCAGGGAAGUCAUUGUAUAACGAGAUAACGGGUAACAGCCCGCAAAACCCAUUACAUAACGGCUUCUAAGUUAUGUAACAACCGUUAUUUAAAACCAUGAGUUGGACACUAAAUGCACUUCCUAUCAUAAAUCCUCCCAACAAAACAUAAGUCCAGAAAAUUGCCCUAAAAACUGUAGGUGCAUUGGAAUGUGAAUGGCAGAUGUGCUAUUUCCCACUUCACCUAGUAUUCUACUUAUGAGUAAAUUUAUGUAGCUUAUAUUAGAAAACUCACAUGAUAUGCUACUUUGUUUCCAGCAAUUUCCAAACAAACUAAAAGUCUAUUCCAAAGAGAAGUUAAUAGAACUGUUACACCAUUUUUUCAUUCGCCAUCCUACUCAUUUUCAUAUGCACCUUUCAACCUAAGUAAAACAAUGACAACCACGUAACUACUAAGAGAAGAUGCUUCAACCCAUUCAAAAUAAAAGAGCAAACAAUUCUUCAACAUUUCUUUAUAUUAACCAAAAACUUUUGAGAAGCUUAAAUUAUGAGCAAAUAGCAAUUACCAUUAUUACUUUCACAAGCUUGCAAAUGAUGCCUUACCUAAAUGGUAAGAGUAACACCCUGGUGGGAAAGUGAUCAAUUUUUUUAUCAAAAUGAUAAAGUUCAUACGCUCACAUGAUAAACUAAUUAUACAUGCAUACUCUUCAAUCAAGAAGACAACAUAUUGACAAAC
rnacentral:lncRNA from 1 species